rnacentral:rRNA from 1 species
AUUGAACGCUGGCGGCAUGCCUUACACAUGCAAGUCGAACGGCAGCAUGAUCUAGCUUGCUAGAUUGAUGGCGAGUGGCGAACGGGUGAGUAAUACAUCGGAACGUGCCCUGUGGUGGGGGAUAACUAGUCGAAAGAUUAGCUAAUACCGCAUACGACCUGAGGGUGAAAGUGGGGGACCGAAAGGCCUCAUGCUAUAGGCGCGGCCGAGGGCUGAUUAGCUAGUUGGUGAGGUAAAGGCUCACCAAAGCGACGAUCAGUAGCUGGUCUGAGAGGACGAUCAGCCACACUGGGCCUGAGACACGGCCCGGACUCCUACGGGAGGCAGAAGUGGGGAAUUUUGGACAAUGGGCGAAAGCCUGAUCCAGCAAUGCCGCGUGUGUGAAGAAGGCCUUCGGGUUGUAAAGCACUUUUGUCCGGAAAGAAAUGGCUCUGGUUAAUACCUGGGGUCGAUGACGGUACCGGAAGAAUAAGGACCGGCUAACUACGUGCCAGCAGCCGCCGUAA